UUUGCCAACCACCUUAAAAUGGAAAAGCAGGUGUUCUACAGCAAAAGGCCAGCAAGGUGAAUCUCCAGGAACAGAAUCCUUCAGAAAUAUCUUCUGUCCUCAAAGAACGGCACAUGCAUUUGGAAGAACGUGAUGAUCCAUUGGCUGCGAUCUCUGUGGCGGAAUGCUGCUGGGACCCCCUUCUAACCUCCCCCCAACCCUCCCCUUGAGUUCAUCCACCCACUCAUUAGGAAUUCCAGCCGGGCAUUGUGGGUGGGAUGAAUGGAGUCAGAGCCAAGG